CAGUCGCCGCGGUAAUACAGAGGGUGCGAGCGUUAAUCGGAUUUACUGGGCGUAAAGCGUGCGUAGGCGGCUUCUUAAGUCAGAUGUGAAAUCCCUGAGCUUAACUUAGGAAUUGCAUUCGAUACUGGGAAGCUAGAGUAUGGGAGAGGAUGGUAGAAUUCCAGGUGUAGCGGUGAAAUGCGUAGAGAUCUGGAGGAAUACCGAUGGCGAAGGCAGCCAUCUGGCCUAAUACUGACGCUGAGGUACGAAAGCAUGGGGAGCAAACAGGAUUAGAUACCCGUGUAGUCCCUGUCUCUUAUAC
rnacentral:rRNA from 1 species